rnacentral:lncRNA from 1 species
CUGAACCAGGGCAAACGGGUGCCCAGGACGAACAGAUUCCACCACCAAUCACGGCAUGAAGCAUUACUAUGGGCACCCCUCUGUGGACUCCUUGUGAGACUCUCUGAAACCGUGUCCUCCCAGGAUUGUCAAAGAAAACAGGAAGCCCCUCCUGGGGAGGCUCACCCCCGCCCCAUCCCCACAAGCCAGGAAGUGACUGGCAGAAAGAUAGACACCUAGCAAGGCCAGGAGCACCCGGGCUGGGAGCCUGGAGCCAUCAUCGGGCGGAGCCCGGAGCCAAGUCCCCUGGGGUCCAAGGGCUGCAUUCCUCCCAGGUCUGCAGAGGCCACCGCUUAAAGGCGCAGAGGAGCAGCUGGGAACGAGAACAAAGCGGCCAGGCCCCCCUCGGAGGAAGGAAGGAGCGAGCCCCAGGAAGCAGCUGAUAACGCUAAGCUCAGCUUGUUUUUUCCUCUGCUCAACAGUUCUCCUGCCACGGCAAACAAAAGAUGUACGUUCUGAUUCCCUCCCGUGUUUGGAUUGCGCCGCUUCUGCUUUCUGAUGAGCUGGGGGAGAGGCAUCCCGGGCAGCUUCUGGCUCGCCUUGCCAGAUGAUGGCAGAGUCCGCCCUGCCUGUCCCCAGCCUAGACGCCUAGCUGCACCAGGCAGGGCAUCGCUUUUGACGAUGGAAUGUGAUGUAGUGAGUGCUGCGGGUUGACUCGUGACCUAGGCUUUGAAGGAACUGCAGCUCAGGACAUGUAAAACUGUUUAGAUGGGAACCCUGGCCUUUCUCAGCUCUAUCGAGAGGCCCCGCCCCGCUAUCGUCUCAGCCAAAGUCACAACCCACUAUUGUGCAAGGGCCGCCUGGGAACACACAAGGUGCAGUCUGCCCUUCCCGGAUCGUGCCACCUUUCUCCCGUGGUUUAGGGCAAUAGUAAUAGAGGACAGGCGAAGAACACCUUCAGGGUCAACUGUGUGUGACAGACAGGUUUUUGGAAAGUUUCUACACCCCAUAAGUCUCUCCGCCCAUGCAGCAAUCCAAAUCAGACCAAAUCAAACUGAAUUAGAAAAAGCCCAUGUUUAAUGGAUACAGCACUCCUGGAUGGCCUUCCAGCCCCCCAGAGAGGAGACAGAAAAUGGAAGAUCAAGAAAACCACAAGUUCGUUUCUGGGGGACAGUUUAAAUACCCUUGGGAGAGGUCUUGAGUAUCUCUGGGGGAGGAGCCAUCAUUUGGCAGGCUUUCUGAGAUGCAGCAGAGUUUGGAGGGAGAUAGAGGAGGGGUUUGGGUGGAACCUCCACCAUAACAUCCCAGACUCUGUGGGUAUAUGGAUACCAGGGGCUGGGGUGGAGCUUUCACCCAUAACAGUUUUCUCUGUGUAGACCUGGCUGUCCUGUAGAGUCACUGGCCUUGAACUCACAGGGAUCCACUGUCUCUGCCUCCCGAGUGCAAGUGCUGGGAUUAAAGGCUUGAGUCACCACCACCAGGCUUCAUUGUUGUUGUUGAGACAGGUCUCACACUACCCAGUUUAUUAAUUACCUUUCUGUUGUUGUGAUAAAAUACUAUGACCAAAAGCAAUGGCAGUAAGAAAAGGUUUGUUUUGGCUUAUGGUUCCAGGGAGAUAGAGCCCAUCAUGGCCCAGAAGGCAGAGCAAAAAUCAGGAGAAUCAUAUUUCAUCUGCACUAAAUGGCAAGGUUAUAGAUCUUCAAAGCGGACUCCACUGACAUACUUCCUAAAGGUUCCAAAACCUCUUCUAAACAGCACCACCAACUGGAGACAAACAGUAACUACAGAAACCUAUGGGGGAGCAUUGCUCAUUCAAACCAUCAUACCCAGGCUGGUCUGGGACUCCAUGUAGCCAAGAAUGACUUUGAUCCUUCUACUUGUACCUCUCCAGUGCUGGGAUUACAGUGUGCCUCACCAGUCUGUGGCUAUAGGUUCUGGGGACUGAGCAGUGCCUCAUACCUACUAGGCAAGAGCAUUAACUGAGCCACUCCCAGUUUCCCCAAGGAAUCCUACUCCUUUAAUCCUAGAACUUGUGAGGCAGAGACAGGGAGUCUUCAUGAGUUUGAGGUCAGCCUGAUCU